GGUCAAUGAUGAGAAGUAAAAGGUCUGAUGCCCAACUCCCCGCUCAGCCGCCCUUUGGCUCCCAGCAGGCCCUGCUCUUUACCCAGCAUGCUCUAGUUGUGCACUGUUGGAUCCAGGGUCUGCUGACAGUCCUGAUGCCUUGUCUAAGCCUGUGACUGCAGGAGGCUCCGCGGUCACAUAUACAAGGCAUCGCACAUCACACCUCCUAAGGAGUGUCAGGGCAGGCUGUGGGGAUAGGCAACUGAUCACCAGUUUUCAAGCUGAGACC
ensembl:scaRNA